CCUUAUUUUUUCUGCUUUGUCGCAGCUCUGUUCAGCAGCUUUGUUUCCAUCAAGCGGUUCAGUCAACCCUGAAAACGAAGCCAAAAAAGCUGCUGAAGUUUUGUGAACAGGCAGAGGGGCUGACUCUGAACUACAUCGUCUGUAUUCUUCUGUUCGCUUGGCUAGUUUUUCGCCUGAUUGUGGCUUGAAAUUCAGACACCGGUGUUGUGUCGAAGUCUGUCCCCCCUUUCAGUUUUUAACCCUCCGCGGUUGGGCAGUAGAGGGUAGGUUAAACUGGGAGUAAUUCAGGCGUAACAGAGAUAAUUUAGGUGUUAGCUAGGGUUAGGCUGGUCACUUUUUGGGGUUAGGAAUAAGGUUCAAGUUCAGGUAAGAGGAACACCGGUUCGUAUCGUACCAUUUUGGCUGAACCACAUCGUCAGAAGUGUUGAGUUCCGCUGAGCCUUUGAAUUAAUCACCUUCAAACAGAGAAAACGGGAUUACUUUGCCUCUUCGGGGAAGUCUGCGCGAUCUACCAAAGCGGAUAUUUGGAGUAUUAAUUGGAUCCAUCGAUCAUAAAGUGGAUGGCAGGAAGUGCUACAGCCUGGACUGACCUUCAUUUACAGCCUCACUCAAACGUUUUGUUUGUUUCCCACUAGAGGCUAUGGUGGGUGGACAUCAACCGUCUGGGUGGAUCCGGGCCGGGCCAUGCCCCCUCGGAAGAAAAAUUUGUGCAUUUUAAAGUUAAGUACAUUAAUUUGGUGCACUUUAAAAGCAAAAUAAAGAGGCUACAUCUGUGAAGAACUUUGCACUCUUGUUAACAAUUUUGUGGCCUAGUAAACAAUUUGAUAAUAAACACACUGUGUAGAUAUAAAUGGUGACAGCAAAAAAGUAAACUGAUUUAUUUAAUGUUUUUCCAGCAACCCUAAAUCAAAGAAUAAUUUGUAAGUAAUUUCCAUAACAUUUUAAUGGACACAUGUAACAUGUUUUGUACUUCCUGAAAAUAUAAACCAAUUCAUCUUAUUUUCCAUACUGUAUACGUUAACCUUAUUUUGAAAAACGAACAUAGUCUCGUUAAUUAAUGGGAAACACUGCAUCAUUUGUUGUGUGAUGAUGUGAAUAUAUAAGAGACCACUUGAGUUUGAAUUAUCGGCUGAACCUCACUUGAGUGGAUUGGUCUUAAUGCAUCAGUCAUGUUUCAUGUCCCUAUAGCCCUGGAAACCCAUUCAAAAUAGACUACAGGGUUUGAAGAUACAUUUGGAUAUAGGGUAUUGGCCUGUUUUAGGUGCCUGAUGUGUAUGUGUUUAUCUACAGUUGAAGAGAGAUGACACGGUCUUAUAAUCUAAAGGUCUUAAAGAGGUCAAGCUGCAAUACCAAAACCCUGAGCUGGGCUUGACUCAGUCUUCUUUGGGUUAAUAGUGAAAGAUGGUGAGAAAUAGAGAGAUGAGAUGUGGAUGAAUACAGGAGAAACAGAAAGAUAGAAAGUUGUAGAGAAACGGAAGGUGUGGAGCAACAAAACCACAGCUGUGUUCCUAAUGAUGUUAGAGAGUGAGUCGAGGUGUACUGUCAUACUGUAUCAAGCUGCUUGUCUGGGGCAAAUUUGCUUACUGAUUGUUCUUUUCAUUGAUGGCUGAGUCUCACUUAUAUAUAGUUAGAGUGUAGUAGUAGUGCAGUGUAGCUCCAAACUCAAUUAUAGUAGUAUUUUUUUUUCUUUCUAUCUUUAUGACUUUUCACUGCUCUUGAUUCAUGUGCUUCAUUUAGCCCUAGCGCUUUAGGUGACUAUAUUCACUUGCUUGUUAUUGCAUCCUCCCUGUGUAUUCCAUCGGAUUCAAAAAUACACAAGAUAAGCGUUUAGGAGGGGAUCCUGACACAGCCAUGCAAUAAAUCAUCUGUGUGAAGCCGCUAUGUUAAAUUUUUGUUUGUCAGCGUGUUAGAGAGGCGAUGAUUAGAUUGUCUGGUCAAUUUUGAGGCAG